ACACACACACACACACACACACACACACACACACACACACACACACACACACACACACACACACAGAGAGUAAGGAUAUAAAUAAUAUUCAAAGUUGGGGCACAUUGAUAGCUGCACUUCCAUAAGCCUAAUGAUAAAGGUGCGUCUGCGUCUGCGAAAGGGUUUCUCAUUCCUGGGAUGAACACAAUCCUGGUAUGAACAUCCUUACUGUAUCGACAGCGACAUUUUUUUUCGCUUCUGACAAAUGUAAUUUGUAGCCGGGCCACAUAUAUAUGCAUACAUGCAUACAUGCGUACAUACAUACAUACAUACAUACAUACAUACAUACAUACAUACAUACAUACAUACAUACAUACAUACAUACAGGGGCGCUGCCUGGCGGGGAAAAGUGGUACUGAUUCUAAGGGCCCAGCCCAACGCAGCACGGCCCACGGCCCGCGGAUGGCAAUUAAUAAUAAAAUAUUAAUAUUCUUGCCUUUUUUUUUUUUUUUUUUUAAAUGUCUCAUUACAAAGAAAUGGUAAUUGGAAAUAAACGUAUUAAACUCAGAACUGUCGAUUUCCAUAACCUUUUCGUUAGUUAUUUAACAUAUUGUCAUUUGCCCUUCCCCCUGAGUUCUUGCGAAAUGGUUCAGCCGCAACGCGCGAUGCGUUGAAUCGAACAGCAUCCGAAAUGUGAGAUGCUGGCACUGGCAGCAGGUGUACAGAGCGGCUGGGCUGGCUGAGGUCAGGUCUUAACCACAUGAUGGUGAGCUGGUGGUGACAGCUACAGAAAUGAAGUCAGGUUGGCAAAAACUGAAGGAAAGACGGGAGAAAGAGGAGAGGGCCAAAAGAGGCAGGCAACUGGUCACUCAAUUUUUCGCCAAUAAAGAAGGUAUGCUCACUCAAUGACCUUGCGUUUUCAAACUCUAUCAAAUGGUAGGCUAACAAGCAGAAUUCUUGGAUUAGCCUCCAAGAGAGCAUGCUAGUUAGCAUUGUUUCCUAUUUAAAAACUCCACCUUUAUUGUCACAGCGAACAAACGGCAAAUGUGGACGAACGACCGUGAUAAACUAGUCUUUUAAUACAAAAUAUUUUUUUCAAAAGAACCUAACGGGGUGGUGUCUUAAAUAUGUGCAUUUUCAACUUCAGGAGGAGGACAAGAUCCGCCCACGGCCACCACGACUGGAUCCCAUUUCGGAGAAGGAGAAAAAUGGCCGGAAACCCUGCGGACCAGGGCCGCGACUUCGACCGCUCUCCAGAGAAUUUGAAGGCAAUAUUAAG
ensembl:lncRNA